rnacentral:rRNA from 1 species
UGAGGAAUAUUGCGCAAUGGACGAAAGUCUGACGCAGCAACGCCGCGUGAACGAUGAAGGUCUUCGGAUUGUAAAGUUCUGUAGCAGGGGACGAAUUACCCGUAGAGGGUGUUGACGGUACCCUGAAAGUAAGCACCGGCUAACUCCGUGCCAGCAGCCGCGGUAAUACGGAGGGUGCAAGCGUUGUCCGGAUUCACUGGGUGUAAAGGGCGUGUAGGCGGAUAUGAAAGUCGAAGGUGAAAGCGGGCAGCUUAACUGUCUCAAGUGCCUUCGAUACUCCAUGUCUUGAGUGUGUCAGGGGGUACUGGAAUUCCCGGUGUAGCGGUGGAAUGCGUAGAUAUCGGGAGGAACACCAGUGGCGAAGGCGGGUACCUGGGGCACAACUGACGCUGAGACGCGAAAGUGCGGGGAGCAAACAGG